rnacentral:rRNA from 1 species
CACGCAGGCGGCUGGGCAAGUCUGACGUGAAGGCUCCCGGCUAAACUGGGAGAGGUCGUUGGAAACUGCUUGGCUUGAGGUAAUGAGAGGGGUGCGGAAUUCCCGGUGUAGUGGUGGAAUGCGUAGAUAUCGGGAGGAACACCAGUGGCGAAAGCGGCACCCUAGCAUUGACCUGACGCUCAUGUGCGAAAGCGUGGGGAGCGAACG